rnacentral:lncRNA from 1 species
GAAAAAGUUGGAAGUAAAGAAAGGCAAGCUCAGAAAAGUGAUGGCAGGUCCAUGCUUUUCAUCAUCAUAUAACAACAAUUUUUUAUUUAUUCAUUUUUUUUUAUGAUAUUCAUUUAUUUUGAUAUGAUCAUAUAACAACAUUUUUAACUACUAGAAAAUUGAGGCUCUGGGUUGGGUUUUAUUUUCACGGCCCGAGAGUUUACUCCUCUUGGGCUUUAUUGAACUCCCAGUGAAUCUGAGUACAAAAUCCAUACAUUAGACAGUAACCCAAUAUCCUACUCAGCAAAUUCAAAUGUCUACCCCAAAAAAAAAAAAAAUC